GUCUUUUUGAUUAAUAAUUUAAAGUCUAAUCUGCCCACUGAUAUUAUAUUAAAGGGCUGCAGUAUUUUGACUGUACAAAGGUAGCAUAAUCAUUAGUCUCUUAAUUGGUGACUUGUAUGAAAGAUUUGAUGAAAUAUAUACUGUCUCUUUUUAAUUUAUAAAAUUUAAUUUUUUAGUUAAAAAGCUAAAAUAUAUUUAAAAGACGAGAAGACCCUAUAGAGUUUUAUAUUUAUAUAAAUUAUAAUUUUUUAUAAGAUUUAAAAUUUUGAUAUAUUUAAAUAUUGUGUUGGGGUGAUAAAAAAAUUUGAAUAACUUUUUUUAUAGAUUAACAUUUAUAAAUGAAUAAAUGAUCCGUAAUUUACGAUUAUAAGAAAAAAUUACCUUAGGGAUAACAGCGUAAUUUUUUUUUUUAGUUCAAAUAAGAAUAAAAGUUUGCGACCUCGAUGUUGGAUUAAGAUAAAAUUUAAAUGCAAAAGUUUAAAAUUUUUGAUCUGUUCGAUCAUUAAAAUCUUACA
rnacentral:rRNA from 1 species